rnacentral:rRNA from 1 species
GACGAACGCUGGCGGCGUGCUUAACACAUGCAAGUCGAACGAAGUGGCGAACGGGUGAGUAAUACGUGGGUAACCUGCCCUCCUUUUUGGUAUACGCCUUGGAAACGGGGUCUAAUACCGAAUAAAGGGGGAUGGGCUCGUGGCCUAUCAGCUUGUUGGUGGGGGGCUGGGCUACCAAGGCGUUGACGGGUAGCCGGCCUGAGAGGGUGAACGGGGACAUUGGGACGGAGAUGAGGCCCAGACACGUAAGGGAGGCGGCAGGGGGGGAUAUUGAACAAUGGGCGAAAGCGUGAUGCAGCGACGCCGCGUGGGGGAUGAAGGCUUUAGGGUUGUAAACCUCUUUCGGUAGAGAAAGGGUAGGUGGAGAAGAAGCGCCGGCUAACUACGUGCCAGCAGCCGCGGUAAUUC